rnacentral:rRNA from 1 species
AUUGAACGCUAGCGGUAUGCUUUACACAUGCAAGUCGAACUAGUGGCGGACGGGUGAGUAAUAUAUCGGAACGUGCCCAGUAGCGGGGGAUAACUACUCGAAAGUGUGGCUAAUAACGCAUACCAUCGGAGCGGGCGAUAGCGGAUUAGCGAGGUGGAGGGGUAAAAGCCCACCAAGGCAACGAUCCGUAGCUGGUUUGAGAGGACGACCAGCCCGACUGGGACUGAGAAACGGCCCAGACUCCUACGGGAGGCAGCAGUGGGGAAUUUUGGACAAUGGGGGAAACCCUGAUCCAGCCAUCCCGCGUGUAUGAGAAGGCCUUCGGGUUGUAAAGUACUUUUGGCAGAGAAGCGGUAUCUGCAGAAUAAGCACCGGCUAACUACGUGCCAGCAGCCGCGGUAAUUC